rnacentral:rRNA from 1 species
GAUGAACGCUAGCGGCGGGCCUAAUACAUGCAAGUCGAACGGUGUAGCAAUACACAGUGGCGCACGGGUGCGUAACACGUAUGCAACCUACCUUACAUUGGGGGAUAGCCUUUCGAAAGGGAGAUUAAUACCGCAUAAGACAGUAACUAGGCAUCUAGUAGCUGUUAAAGAUUUAUCGAUGUAAGCUGGGCAUGCGUCUAAUUAGUUAGUUGGCGAGGUAAUGGCUCACCGAGACGAUGAUUGGUAGGGGAACUGAGAGGUCAAUCCCCCACACUGGCACUGAGAUACGGGCCAGACUCCUACGGGAGGCAGCAGUAGGGAAUAUUGGGCAAUGGGCGCAAGCCUGACCCAGCCAUGCCGCGUGCAGGAAGAAGGCGUUAUGCGUUGUAAACUGCUUUUAUACAGGAAGAAACGACCCUUGCGAGGGGCAUUGACGGUACCUGACUAAGAAGCACCGGCUAAAUACGUGCCAGCAGCCGCCGUAAUAC